rnacentral:misc_RNA from 1 species
GAUGAAGAACGCAGCAAAAUGCGAUAAGUAAUGCGAAUUGCAGAAUUUCCGUGAGUCAUCGAAUCUUUGAACGCACAUUGCGCCCCUUGGUAUCCCGAGGGGCAUGCCUGUUCGAGCGUCAUUUCACCACUCAAGCCUGGCUUGGUGUUGGGCGACGUCCCCUUUGGGGACGCGCCUUGAAACGCUCGGCGGCGUGGCACCGGCUUUAAGCGUAGCAGAAUCUUUCGCUUUGGAAGUCGGGGCCCCGUCUGCCGGAAGACCUACUCGCAAGGUUGACCUCGGAUCAGGCAGGGAUACCCGCUGAACUUAAGCAUAUCAAUAAGCGGAGGA